rnacentral:rRNA from 1 species
GACGAACGCUGGCGGCGUGCUUAACACAUGCAAGUCGAACGGAAAGGCCCUGCUUUUGUGGGGUGCUCGAGUGGCGAACGGGUGAGUAACACGUGAGUAACCUGCCCUUGACUUUGGGAUAACUUCAGGAAACUGGGGCUAAUACCGGAUAGGAGCUCCUGCUGCAUGGUGGGGGUUGGAAAGUUUCGGCGGUUGGGGAUGGACUCGCGGCUAAUCAGCUUGUUGGUGGGGUAGUGGCUUACCAAGGCUUUGAGGGGUAGCCGGCCUGAGAGGGUGACCGGCGACAAUAGGACUGAGAGACGGCGCAGACGCCUACGGGAGGCAGAGGGGGGGAAUAUUGCACAAUGGGCGGAAGCGUGAGGCAGCAACGCCGCGUGCGGGAUGACGGCCUUCGGGUUGUAAACCGCUGUCGCCUGUGACGAAGCGUGAGUGACGGUAAUGGGUAAAGAAGCACCGGCUAACUACGUG